rnacentral:rRNA from 1 species
AACGAACGCUGGCGGCAUGCUUAACACAUGCAAGUUGAACGAGUAUGGACCUAGCUUGCUAGGAACCCAGCUAGUGGCAAACGGGUGAGUAACGCGUGGGAACCUACCUUGUAGUACGGAAUAGCCAUUGGAAACGAUGAUUAAUACCGUAUACGCUCUUCGGAGGAAAGAUUUAUCGCUAUAAGAUGGGCCCGCGUUAGAUUAGCUUGUUGGUGGGGUAAUGGCCUACCAAGGCAACGAUCUAUAGCUGGUUUGAGAGGAUGAUCAGCCACACUGGGACUGAGACACGGCCCAG